CAGUCGACGAGAAACUUACUUAGCUUGCUUUGAAAGUUUCUAGUGGCGGACGGGUGAGUAACACGUGAGUUACCUGCCCCGAAGUGGGGGAUAGCCUUCCGAAAGGGAGAUUAAUACCCCAUGUGAUCGCAAGAUUAAAGGCGGCCAUCUUUGAUGGCUGUCGCUUCGGGAUGGGCUCGCGGCCUAUCAGCUAGUUGGUGAGGUAACUGCUUACCAAGGCGAUGACGGGUAGCUGGUCUGAGAGGACGACCAGUCACACUGGAACUGAGACACGGUCCAGACACCUACGGGUGGCAGCAGUCGAGAAUCAUUCGCAAUGGGCGAAAGCCUGACGGUGCGACGCCGCGUGGAGGAUGAAGGCCCUAGGGUCGUAAACUCCUGUCAUCAGGGAGUAAUGGCUCACGUAGUAACUGCCGUGAGCAGUGAUAGUACCUGAAGAGGAAGGGACGGCAAACUUCGUGCCAGCAGCCGCGGUAAUACGAAGGUCUCAAGCGUUGUUCGGAUUUACUGGGCGUAAAGCGUCUGUAGGCGGAGUGGUAAGUCAGAUGUGAAAUCCCGGGGCUCAACCCCGGAACUGCAUCCGAUACUGCCACCCUAGAGGGUCGGAGGGGAGUCUGGAAUUCUCGGUGUAGCAGUGAAAUGCGUAGAUAUCGAGAGGAACACUAGUGGCGAAGGCGAGACUCUGGACGACACCUGACGCUGAGAGACGAAGGCCAGGGUAGCGAAAAGGAUUAGAUACCCUUGUAGUCCUGGCAGUAAACGGUGCACGCUUGGUGUGGGGAGGUUCGACCCUCUCCGUGCCGGAGCUAACGCGUUAAGCGUGCCGCCUGGGGAGUACGGUCGCAAGAUUAAAACUCAAAGAAAUUGACGGGGACCCGCACAAGCGGU
rnacentral:rRNA from 1 species